UGGACUUAGAGGGUAUCAGGCUAACUGAAAUAAAUCAGACAAAGACAAAUACCAUAUGACUUCACUCAUUCUUGAAAUUUAAAAAAAAAAACCUAGAAAUAA